UACGUAGGGGGCGAGCGUUGUCCGGAUUUAUUGGGCGUAAAGAGCUCGUAGGCGGCUUGUCGCGUCGUUCGUGAAACCUGCAGCUCAACUGCAGGCUUGCGGUCGAUACGGGCAGACUAGAGUGCGGUAGGGGAGACUGGAAUUCCUGGUGGUAGCGGUGAAAUGCGCAGAUAUCAGGAAGAACACCAAUGGCGAAGGCAGCUCUCUGGGACGGUACUGACGCUGAGACGCGAAAGCGUGGGGAGCGAACAGG
rnacentral:rRNA from 1 species